GACGUAGGGCGUGAGCGUUGUCCGGAUUUAUUGGGCGUAAAGAGCUCGUAGGCGGCUUGUCGCGUCGACUGUGAAAUCCCGCGGCUCAACUGCGGGUCUGCAGUCGAUACGGGCAGGCUAGAGUUCGGUAGGGGAGACUGGAAUUCCUGGUGUAGCGGUGAAAUGCGCAGAGUAUCAGGAGGAACACCGGUGGCGAAGGCGGGUCUCUGGGCCGAUACUGACGCUGAGGAGCGAAAGCGUGGGGAGCGAACAGG
rnacentral:rRNA from 1 species